GACGAACGCUGGCGGCGUGCCUAAUACAUGCAAGUCGAACGAGAGCGACCGGUGCUUGCACUGGUCAAUCUAGUGGCGAACGGGUGAGUAACACGUGGGUAACCUGCCCAUCAGAGGGGGAUAACAUUCGGAAACGGAUGCUAAGACCGCAUAGGUCUUCGAACCGCAUGGUUUGAAGAGGAAAAGAGGCGCAAGCUUCUGCUGAUGGAUGGACCCGCGGUGCAUUAGCUAGUUGGUGAGGUAACGGCUCACCAAGGCCGUGAUGCAUAGCCGACCUGAGAGGGUGAUCGGCCACAUUGGGACUGAGACACGGCCCAAACUCCUACGGGAGGCUGCAGUAGGGAAUCUUCCGCAAAGGACGCAAGUCUGACGGAGCAACGCCGCGUGAGUGAAGAAGGUUUUCGGAUCGUAAAACUCUGUUGUUAGAGAAGAACAAGUGCUAGAGUAACUGUUAGCGCCUUGACGGUAUCUAACCAGAAAGCCACGGCUAACUACGUG
rnacentral:rRNA from 1 species